UACGGAGGGUGCAAGCGUUAUCCGGAUUCACUGGGUUUAAAGGGUGCGUAGGUGGGCUGGUAAGUCAGUGGUGAAAUCCCCGGGCUUAACUCGGAAACUGCCAUUGAUACUAUCUUUCUUGAAUACCGUGGAGGUCAGCGGAAUAUGUCAUGUAGCGGUGAAAUGCUUAGAUAUGACAUAGAACACCAAUUGCGAAGGCAGCUGGCUACACGAAUAUUGACACUGAGGCACGAAAGCGUGGGGAUCAAACAGG
rnacentral:rRNA from 1 species